CAUCAUUGUAGGAACUCUGCCUCCCUGAGCGAUGAUAGUUAGCUCCCCGGAAAUAUUCUUCCAUUGACCUAAGCACAGGUGUUAUGUCAGCACAAUUACGUCACUUGUGGGUGAAAAAUUGGGCAUAGCUGGGAAACUCAAGACAGAGAAUUUUUUAUCCUCCUGAGCAACGUCAAUCUAAGUUUUUAGUGUAGAUCAGGCCUUAUUGGAUUUAGUUUUGAUUUGAGAAGACUCAGGCCCAAUGUGUAAUUUUUCUACAAGAUAAAAAUUCUAUUUGAAAAACUAACUCACUAUCAUUUGUACAGAGAUAAGGAAAAUUGAAUUAAUUAUAUUCCUGUCUAUUCCAUCUUGGCAUCAGAGCACAAUAUUUAAGAUUGACCCUAAUAAAUGUAGACAUAAAAUCUAGUAGAAGGAAACGGCAUUAAAUAGUGUAAUGCCUGUCUUUUUUUUGUGUUUGCACUCCAGAUCAGCACAUCUGUGUAUCUGAUUUGGUGUACAGAUGACAUUUGAUAUUUUCUCUUUUUACAGGAUAUUUAAGAAUGUAAAUUGCUGUUAAAAUUGUUUGAAUCUAGUCUUUUAAGUGUUAAGAAUGUAAGCUUCGUAGUUGGAUCAUGACUUUUGUGUUUGUGGGUAUGUUUAAAUUCAUCCAAGUUUAAUAGUCGCUAAAUUUAAUCCAAUAUUGAGAAGACAAACUCUCAAGAGAGCGGAGAAGGAUUUAAAGGGAAAAGAGUCUAGCUGUAAUUUUCAUAUACAUUUCAUAUUUAGUUACGGCUGAUGUGCUGUAGUUACAUUUACACAUGAAUUUUGAACUGACUGUAUGGUUCAAGCAUUCAUUAGUACUGUAGAUUUUUAGACACUUUGCUACUUACAGACCAUUGUUAAAUAUUCCUAUAUGAACAUCUUGCUUGCAAAAUCUGCUCACUAAAUUAUUCAAUUGAAUCUAGUUAUGUGUUCUUUACUAAUCCCACAGCAUACUGUAAAAUUAGUCACGGAUUACUGUCUGCAUCUGGUUGGUGCUACUGGUAGUGAUGUAAUUUCAGCCUUUUGUCACAAGAAUAGAUACAGUUAAUGACUUUAAUUGGGUUCAUUGCUUAAUAUACCUGAAAAUAGUUCCAUGUUUGACUUGGGGGGGGGGGGGGUGUUUAAGGCUUUGUUUUAGUUAGCCCAUUUUGAAAGUAUACGUUUUAAAAUUAUUAUUUGGGAAAUGGAAACAUUUAGUUAUGCACAGCGAGACAAUAGUCGGUAUUUUUUUUUAAUUGAUCACUGUAUGAAGUAACUUUCUUAUCUAUUUUAUUUCACAUAUACUAGCUGUUACAUUUUUCUUUAAAUGGUCUUUUUUUAAAAUGUUUUAAAAGUAGGCUUAAAAGAUUUGUUGUGAUUCCUUUAAGGCUUAAAAAAAGAAUUGGAGUCUUGUGGCACCUUAUAGACUAACAGACAUAUUGGAGCAUAAGCUUUUGUGGGUGAAUACCCACUUCGUUGGAUGCUUGUCAUCGUCUUCUUCUUAGGAGUAGAAGUCCUUGUUUGAAUGUGAGUGAAGAUCUGGUACAUUUUUAUGCUUUUUCUCUUGGGCUUAUUAUAGCAUUGCCUAUUAUACACCAUGCGUCUCUGUCAUUUGCUUGUCAGUUAAUAUAACAUAACUCUGAUUGUGUUUUUGUGAAAUGCAUAUUCAGAAGCAUGUUAAGCAUUUUUUCAUAAUAAUUUUGUAUCAAUGCAUGUGCUUUGUUUAAAAUACUAUGUUCAGGUAUAAUGACCGAUAAUAAGGCUUUUUUACAUUGUAUUCAAUAUGUUUCACUGUAUUGACUCUACAUCAUUGGAUGACUUCAGUGAGAGCUAUUGGGUGAUCAACACUUUCGAAAAUCAGGCCACUUAUUUAUCUGUUCAUUUAAAUAUGGAUUUAAGAGCCUAACUUUAGACACCCAUUUUGGAAAUCUUGGUCUGUUUUUGAUAUAUGUUUGUUUAUACC